rnacentral:rRNA from 1 species
GACGAACGCUGGCGGCGUGCUUAACACAUGCAAGUCGAACGAUGAACCGAGAGCUUGCUCUUGGGGAUUAGUGGCGAACGGGUGAGUAACACGUGAGUAACCUGCCCUGGACUCUGGGAUAACCCCGAGAAAUCGGAGCUAAUACCGGAUAGGACCCUGUACCGCAUGGUGUGGGGUGGAAAGUUUUUUCGGUUUGGGAUGGACUCGCGGCCUAUCAGCUUGUUGGUGAGGUAAUGGCUCACCAAGGCGUCGACGGGUAGCCGGCCUGAGAGGGUGAACGGCCAGACUGGGACUGAGACACGGCCCAGACUCCUACGGGAGGCAGCAGUGGGGAAUAUUGCACAAUGGGCGCAAGCCUGAUGCAGCAACGCCGCGUGCGGGAUGACGGCCUUCGGGUUGUAAACCGCUUUUAGUAAGGAAGAAGGGGAGCUUGCUCCUUGACGGUACUUGCAGAAAAAGGACCGGCUAACUACGUGCCAGCCGCCGCAGUAAUAC